GGGCGCAUAGCUCAGCGGGAGAGCACUACGUUGACAUCGUAGGGGUCACAGGUUCAAUCCCUGUUGCGCCCACCA
rnacentral:tRNA from 1 species